rnacentral:rRNA from 1 species
CGCGUAGGGGGCAAGCGUUGUCCGGAUUUAUUGGGCGUAAAGAGCUCGUAGGCUGUUCGAUAAGUCGGGUGUGAAACCUCCAGGCUCAACCUGGAGACGCCACCCGAUACUGUCAUGACUAGAGUCCGGUAGGGGAGCGUGGAAUUCCUGGUGUAGCGGUGAAAUGCGCAGAUAUCAGGAGGAACACCAGCGGCGAAGGCGGCGCUCUGGGCCGGUACUGACGCUGAGGAGCGAAAGCGUGGGUAGCAAACAGG